rnacentral:rRNA from 1 species
GACGAACGCUGGCGGCGUGCUUAACACAUGCAAGUGGAGCGACGAACCAGGGCUUGCCCUGGGGCAGAGCCGCGAACGGGUGAGUAACACGUGGGUUACCUGCCUCGAUGACCGGGACAACCCGAGGAAACUCGGGCUAAUACCGGAUGUGCCCGCAAGGGGAAAGGAAGCUUCGGCCUCCGCAUCGAGAUGGGCCCGCGGCCCAUUAGCUUGUUGGUGAGGUAACGGCUCACCAAGGCUUCGAUGGGUAGCUGGUCUGAGAGGACGAUCAGCCACACUGGGACUGAGACACGGCCCAGACUCCUGCGGGGGGCAGCGGUGGGGAAUCUUGCGCAAUGCGCGAAAGCGUGACGCAGCAACGCCGCGUGGGGGAAGAAGGCUUUCGGGUUGUAAACCCCUUUCAGUUGGGACGAAGCUCUGUCGGUUAAUAGCCGGUCGGAGUGACGGUACCUUCACAAGAAGCACCGGCUAACUACGUGCCAGCAGCCGCCGUAA